GAUGAACGCUGGCGGCGUGCCUAAUACAUGCAAGUCGAGCGAACGGACGAGAAGCUUGCUUCUCUGAUGUUAGCGGCGGACGGGUGAGUAACACGUGGAUAACCUGCCUAUAAGACUGGGAUAACUUCGGGAAACCGGAGCUAACACCGGAUGAUAUUUUGAACCGCAUGGUUCAAAAGUGAAAGACGGUCUUGCUGUCACUUAUAGAUGGAUCCGCGCUGCAUUAGCUAGUUGGUAAGGUAACGGCUUACCAAGGCAACGAUGCAUAGCCGACCUGAGAGGGUGAUCGGCCACACUGGAACUGAGACACGGUCCAGACUCCUACGGGAGGCAGCAGUAGGGAAUCUUCCGCAAUGGGCGAAAGCCUGACGGAGCAACGCCGCGUGAGUGAUGAAGGUCUUCGGAUCGUAAAACUCUGUUAUUAGGGAAGAACAUAUGUGUAAGUAACUGUGCACAUCUUGACGGUACCUAAUCAGAAAGCCACGGCUAACUACGUG
rnacentral:rRNA from 1 species